rnacentral:rRNA from 1 species
UGCCCAGACUCCUACGGGAGGCAGCAGUGAGGAAUAUUGGUCAAUGGGCGGAAGCCUGAACCAGCCAAGUCGCGUGAGGGAAUAAGGCCCUACGGGUCGUAAACCUCUUUUGCCGGGGAGCAAGGGCGGGGACGUGUCCCGGCCCGGAGAGUACCCGGAGAAAAAGCAUCGGCUAACUCCGUGCCAGCAGCCGCGGUAAUACGGAGGAUGCGAGCGUUAUCCGGAUUUACUGGGUGUAAAGGGAGCGCAGGCGGCACGGCAAGCCUGAUGUGAAAGCCCGCGGCCCAACCGCGGGACUGCAUUGGGAACUACCGGGCUGGAGUGCCGGAGAGGUAGGCGGAAUUCCUAGUGUAGCGGUGAAAUGCGUAGAUAUUAGGAGGAACACCAGUGGCGAAGGCGGCCUACUGGACGGUGACUGACGCUGAGGCUCGAAAGCGUGGGGAGCAAACAGGAUUAGAUACCCGUGUAAU